AGAAGAGGUCAGCGUGACUUGAAUGGAUGUUUGAGUUCAUUGAGACAGUUGCUAUAGAAUCCCUUUGAAGUAUGGAACAAGAAGCAUCUUGUUCUCUCAUGCCCAAGAAAUGACAUUCUCCAAACAACUCCUAAACUGAUAAAGGUAUGGUUCAAGGUUGCUGACCUGAUUAAACAGCAACAGAAAGCUACCCAAGAUGUUUAUUCUCAUCCGCCCUAGUGGAAGAAUCCCAUUCCAAUUAUUAGUAAUCCUUCAGUUUAAAUAUUUCUCUUCCCUGUGUGUACCUUCUAAGCUCUUGUCACACCACAAAGCUCUCAUCAUAUCAGUGUUUUCCUCUUGAGCUAGUCUUUGUACUCAUUGGUAUUAAACCACCAAAACUGCCCACCAUAAUGAAAGCUUACUUUGACAUUAAUACUUAUCACCUAUUUAUAUAACAUUUACUGUAAGCAUGGCUCUUCAUUUUACACCUGGUAGUGUCUCAAGGCAGUGUCUCUCACCCCCACCUGAUUCACACCUAGUUUGUAACACAGAAUCUGAUUAACGAUACGAUUUGGUGAAACCAUUCCUGUAUUAAGAUGAAAGUUAUUUCAUCUCAAAGCCGAUAUGGUAAUUUUCUAAACUUUUGAUAAUUUUUACUCAUAUGCAUUUGUUUUACUUUGUUGUUCUGUCUUAUGUUCAAAGUCACUCUUGCUGCUGAAAACUGAGCCAAAACUGUGGUCUGUAUUUCAUGCCUUAUGAAAGUAAUCUUUACUUUUUUAUUUGAAUUAACUUUUCCAGUACCAAUUCUUUUCCUGUUGGUUGGGAGAUCAGACGGUCUACUGUAAUUGUUCAUCUGCUUUGGAAGUUUUAUUAGGCUUCACUAGGUUAAUGCCACGUUGUUCAUUUUUGUAGCUC